UAUUAGUAUACGGGUGAUGUUGUACUGAUGUGCACAACUGAACCUUGAUUGCAGCUUGCUGGGAGUUGACUCCUCAUGUCAGCAAAUGGUUACAGAAACACCACUUGAACAGUUCAGGGGCAUAUCAGUAUUUUGUGUUGCGAGCACAGAAGAUAGCUUUGUCCCAUGGAUACGAAAUCAUUAACUGGGAAGAGACUUUCAACGACUUUGGCAAUAAGUUGAGCCGGAAAACUGUGGUCCACAACUGGCUCGGGAGUGGUGUUGCUCAGAAAGUGGUUGCAGCCGGGUUGCGUUGCAUUGUAAGCAAUCAAGACGCAUGGUAUUUGGAUCAUUUGGAUACGACUUGGCAAAAUUUCUAUCUAAAUGAGCCUCUCACUAAUAUCACUGAUCCCAAGAAACAAGCAUUAAUCCUUGGGGGCGAGGUAUGCAUGUGGGGUGAACAUAUUGACGCGUCUGACAUUGAACAAACCAUAUGGCCACGUGCUGCAGCAGCUGCAGGUACUUCUUUGGAAACCU